rnacentral:rRNA from 1 species
AUUGGAUUGAGAACAACGUACAAACCUUAUCGAUAAACAAUUGGAGGGCAAGUCUGGUGCCAGCAGCCGCGGUAAUUCCAGCUCCAAUAGCGUAUAUUAACGUUGUUGCAGUUAAAAAGCUCGUAGUUGAAAUGAAGGGUAGUUGUGUAAUGAAUACAUUCGUGUAUUUUGUUAUUCUACUACCCUCCUUCUAAAUUCGAUAUAUGAGUAUUAAUUUACUUGUAUAUGGUUUUAGACGUUUACUGUGAGAAAAUUAGAGUGUUCAAAGCAGGCAUUUGCUUGAAUAUAUUAGCAUGGAAUAAUCAUGUAUGAUUUUCAUGAUGUAUUUGAUUGGUUUGGUUCAUGAGAAUAAGAUUAAAAGGGACAGUUGGGGGUAUUCAUAUUCAAUAGUCAGAGGUGAAAUUCUCGGAUUUAUGGAAGAUGAACA